rnacentral:rRNA from 1 species
UACGAAGGGGGCUAGCGUUGUUCGGAAUUACUGGGCGUAAAGAGUGUGUAGGCGGUGCUCUAAGUUCGGUGUGAAAUCUCCUGGCUUAACUGGGAGGGUGCGCCGGAAACUGGAGUGCUCGAACGUGGGAGAGGAAAGCGGAAUUCCUGGUGUAGCGGUGAAAUGCGUAGAUAUCAGGAGGAACACCUGCGGUGUAGACGGCUUUCUGGACCAUUGUUGACGCUGAGACACGAAAGCGUGGGUAGCAAACAGG